AUACGUAGGGGGCGAGCGUUGUCCGGAAUGAUUGGGCGUAAAGGGCGCGUAGGCGGCCCGGUAAGUCUGGAGUGAAAGUCCUGUUUUUAAGAUGGGAAUUGCUUUGGAUACUGUCGGGCUUGAGUGCAGGAGAGGGAAGUGGAAUUCCCAGUGUAGCGGUGAAAUGCGUAGAGAUUGGGAGGAACACCAGUGGCGAAGACGACUUACUGGACUGUAACUGACGCUGAGGCGCGAAAGUGUGGGGAGCAAACAGGAUUAGAUACCCUGGUAGUCCACACUGUAAACGAUGAAUGCUAGGUGUAGGGGGUAUCGACCCCUUCUGUGCCGCAGUCAACACAAUAAGCAUUCCGCCUGGGGAGUACGGCCGCAAGGUUGAAACUUAAAGGAAUUGACGGGG
rnacentral:rRNA from 1 species